rnacentral:rRNA from 1 species
AUUGAACGCUGGCGGCAGGCCUAACACAUGCAAGUCGAGCGGUAGCACAGAGAGCUUGCUCUCGGGUGACGAGCGGUGGACGGGUGAGUAAUGUCUGGGAAACUGCCUGAUGGAGGGGGAUAACUACUGGAAACGGUAGCUAAUACCGCAUAACGUCGCAAGACCAAAGUGGGGGACCUUCGGGCCUCAUGCCAUCAGAUGUGCCCAGAUGGGAUUAGCUAGUAGGUGGGGUAACGGCUCACCUAGGCGACGAUCCCUAGCUGGUCUGAGAGGAUGACCAGCCACACUGGAACUGAGACACGGUCCAGACUCCUACGGGAGGCAGCAGUGGGGAAUAUUGCACAAUGGGCGCAAGCCUGAUGCAGCCAUGCCGCGUGUGUGAAGAAGGCCUUCGGGUUGUAAAGCACUUUCAGCGGGGAGGAAGGCGUUAAGGUUAAUAACCUUGGCGAUUGACGUUACCCGCAGAAGAAGCACCGGCUAACUCCGUGCCAGCAGCCGCGGUAAUACGGAGGGUGCAAGCGUUAAUCGGAAUUACUGGGCGUAAAGCGCACGCAGGCGGUCUGUCAAGUCAGAUGUGAAAUCCCCGGGCUCAACCUGGGAACUGCAUUCGAAACUGGCAGGCUAGAGUCUUGUAGAGGGGGGUAGAAUUCCAGGUGUAGCGGUGAAAUGCGUAGAGAUCUGGAGGAAUACCGGUGGCGAAGGCGGCCCCCUGGACAAAGACUGACGCUCAGGUGCGAAAGCGUGGGGAGCAAACAGGAUUAGAUACCCUGGUAGUCCACGCCGUAAACGAUGUCGAUUUGGAGGUUGUGCCCUUGAGGCGUGGCUUCCGGAGCUAACGCGUUAAAUCGACCGCCUGGGGAGUACGGCCGCAAGGUUAAAACUCAAAUGAAUUGACGGGGGCCCGCACAAGCGGUGGAGCAUGUGGUUUAAUUCGAUGCAACGCGAAGAACCUUACCUGGUCUUGACAUCCACAGAACUUUCCAGAGAUGGAUUGGUGCCUUCGGGAACUGUGAGACAGGUGCUGCAUGGCUGUCGUCAGCUCGUGUUGUGAAAUGUUGGGUUAAGUCCCGCAACGAGCGCAACCCUUAUCCUUUGUUGCCAGCGGUUAGGCCGGGAACUCAAAGGAGACUGCCAGUGAUAAACUGGAGGAAGGUGGGGAUGACGUCAAGUCAUCAUGGCCCUUACGACCAGGGCUACACACGUGCUACAAUGGCAUAUACAAAGAGAAGCGACCUCGCGAGAGCAAGCGGACCUCAUAAAGUAUGUCGUAGUCCGGAUUGGAGUCUGCAACUCGACUCCAUGAAGUCGGAAUCGCUAGUAAUCGUAGAUCAGAAUGCUACGGUGAAUACGUUCCCGGGCCU